rnacentral:rRNA from 1 species
CAUAUCAAUAAGCCGGAGGAAAAGAAACUAACAAGGAUUCCCCUAGUAACUGCGAGUGAAGCGGGAAAAGCUCAAAUUUAAAAUCUGGCGGUCUUUGGCCGUCCGAGUUGUAAUCUAGAGAAGUAAUGCCCGUGCUGGACCGUGUAUAAGUCUCCUGGGAUGGGGCGUCAUAGAGGGUGAGAAUCCCGUCUUUGACACGGACUACCAGUGCAUUGUGGUAUGCUCUCAAAGAGUCGAGUUGUUUGGGAAUGCAGCUCAAAAUGGGUGGUAAAUUCCAUCUAAAGCUAAAUAUUGGCGAGAGACCGAUAGCGAACAAGUACCGUGAGGGAAAGAUGAAAAGAACUUUGGAAAGAGAGUUAAACAGUACGUGAAAUUGCUGAAAGGGAAACGCUUGAAGUCAGUCGCGUUGGCCAGGGAUCAGCCUUGCUUUUGCAUGGUGUACUUUCUGGUUGACGGGUCAGCAUCAAUUUUGACCGCUGGAAAAGGGCCUGGGGAAUGUGGCAGCUUCGGCUGUGUUAUAGCCCCUGGUCGCAUACAGUGGUUGGGAUUGAGGAACUCAGCACGCCGCAAGGCCGGGUUUCGACCACGUUCGUGCUUAGGAUGCUGGCAUAAUGGCUUUAAGCGACCCGUCUUGAAACACGGACCAAGGAGUCUAACAUGCCUGCGAGUAUUUGGGUGGAAAACCCGAGUGCGCAAUGAAAGUGAAAGUUGAGAUCCCUGUCGUGGGGAGCAUCGACGCCCGGACCAGAACUUUUGGGACGGAUCCGCGGUGGAGCAUGUAUGUUGGGACCCGAAAGAUGGUGAACUAUGCCUGAAUAGGGUGAAGCCAGAGGAAACUCUGGUGGAGGCUCGUAGCGAUUCUGACGUGCAAAUCGAUCGUCAAAUUUGGGUAUAGGGGCGAAAGACUAAUCGAAACCAUCUAGUAGCUGGUUCCUGCCGA